CAGCAGCCGCGGUAAUACGAAGGGUGCAAGCGUUACUCGGAAUUACUGGGCGUAAAGCGUGCGUAGGUGGUGGUUUAAGUCCGUUGUGAAAGCCCUGGGCUCAACCUGGGAAUUGCAGUGGAUACUGGGUCACUGGAGUGUGGUAGAGGAUAGUGGAAUUUCCGGUGUAGCAGUGAAAUGCGUAGAGAUCGGAAGGAACAUCUGUGGCGAAGGCGACUAUCUGGGCCAACACUGACACUGAGGCACGAAAGCGUGGGGAGCAAACAGGAUUAGAUACCCCGGUAGUCCCUGUCUCUUAUAC
rnacentral:rRNA from 1 species